rnacentral:tRNA from 1 species
AGCUCAGUGGUAGAGCAUUCCGCACCAAGAUUUUGAAGGUUCGAAUCCUUCC